GUUUUUUCCUGCUUUAUUCUGGAAGCUGAAGUUGGAGGAAGCUUGAAAACUUGGGAUGGCAGGUUGAUGGUGUUGGCUCAGCUAGGCUGAAUUGGCUCCUUGUGACAAAAACCAGAAUCCCUGCUUGGAAGUGUGAGAGAAAUGAGCUCUUCCCCCAGUUCCCUGGCAGCAGGCGGACAAGCAAAACUGAACUGUCUGCAGUCCUGGAGAGCCUGGAUUUAGAGAGAUUUCCAGCAGUCAUCAACAAAAUAAGAGAAAAAGGUG